rnacentral:sRNA from 1 species
AAUUUGUAUGACACAACAGGUUGAACUCUGCCAAAGUUUAGGGAUAACAUUAAAUGUCUCAUCUCCAGGCGCAUUACAGGCUUCUCUCGAGCCGUUUCGACUCAGUGAUGAAGGCAAGUGGCUUGCACUGUCUAGGCUUGUAAUGAAAUGUUUUCAG